GGAGGCGGAAGUUGUUCUGGUGAUGACCCCGGUCUUCAAAACCGUGUGUGGGGCUUGCAUAAAGUCCCUGGCAGGUUCGAUUCCUGUGCGCCUCCGCCA
rnacentral:tRNA from 1 species